rnacentral:misc_RNA from 1 species
AAACUAGGUAUUCUUGUCCCUGUGCAAUAAAUGUGACUGCAGGGCAAUCAGAUGAUCCUAAGAAGUUAGAUAUAGAAGGAUUUAUCAGUGCACUGAUGAAACUGUGGGAUGGUUUUCCUCAGCCAGUAAGGAAUUUUCCAUGGACCAAAGCAGCGAUAAGCUUUUUGCAGCUUAUAUUUGAACUCACUUGGGCAGUUGCAAAGUAUCUCA